rnacentral:rRNA from 1 species
ACGAACGCUGGCGGCGUGCUUAACACAUGCAAGUCGAACGGUGAAGCUCCAGCUUGCUGGAGUGGAUCAGUGGCGAACGGGUGAGUAACACGUGAGCAACCUGCCCCAGACUCUGGAAUAAGCGCUGGAAACGGCGUCUAAUACUGGAUACGAGAUCAAGCCGCAUGGUUAUGGUCUGGAAAGUUUUUCGGUUUGGGAUGGGCUCGCGGCCUAUCAGCUUGUUGGUGAGGUAAUGGCUCACCAAGGCGACGACGGGUAGCCGGCCUGAGAGGGCGACCGGCCACACUGGGACUGAGACACGGCCCAGACUCCUACGGGAGGCAGCAGUGGGGAAUAUUGCACAAUGGGCGAAAGCCUGAUGCAGCGACGCCGCGUGAGGGAUGACGGCCUUCGGGUUGUAAACCUCUUUCAGCAGGGAAGAAGCGAAAGUGACGGUACCUGCAGAAGAAGCACCGGCUAACUACGU